AUUUUGAAACCAAGAGCUAAUUUUAAAAUUUUAUUUGUUUAUUUGUAUUCAGUGACCGCAAAUUAGUAUAAAAACAUAGCAUGUAUUUAAAAGGCACACAAAAAGUUUGAUUUUGUAGACCAGUGUUAUCUAUGAUGUGUUAUUAUUUGAUGUUGUCAUAUAUAACCCAUUUUUUGACACAACAACAACCAGUCCAUAAAUGCUCAUUAUUGUGUUGUGAGAGCAGCAAUGAUCAGAUCAUAAGCCUCUGGAGCUUGUUAUCAGCACUUAGUUCAUGUGGAACCCAUUUGCUCAGCUUCUAGGCUUUCCCUAGGCAAUGUAAUGCAAAUGUAUGUUUUAUCACUUAUAUUGAAUCUUUUUGCCACCAUUUGCCAUGUUUGUCUUGAAUCCACUGGAUGGCUGCCUUAAGUUCAUCCUAAUAAACAAUGUUUUGUCUUCUCUUGUGAGGUGCAUUUUCAAGAACAUCAUCAUCUGAUGCAAAUUUUCUGUACCACAUUUGGGCCAUGCAUUCACUCACUCACUAUUCUCUCAAAUGCUCUAUGUAUCUUGUGGGCUGCUUCUGUUGCAUUAGUGCUUAGUUUAAACUUCUAUAGUACCAUAUUUAUUCACAUAUAAAUUGAGGGUUUUAUUCAUUUAUCAUAGCUUCAAAUUCCUAGGUUGUCCUAAACUCACGAGCAAAAGAUUCUUUGUGAUUUUGCAAAUAAUUUUUGUGAACCAUGUAUUCAUGUUUUUUCUGGAUGCAUACCCUCUUGUAUUCAUGUUUUUUUCCGGAUGCAUACCCUCUUGUAUUUAAAAACAUAAGUAUUUUAUCUGGGUCAUUUGAAUUGUUCUUGUAUAUUGUCUGGAGUAAAGAUGAAUAGCAAUAGGAAAAGCAAAGCUUUUGAAUUGAAAUUCCAACAUCAACAGGAGCUACAUGAAAAAGUUUUAAUCCACAUGAAAACAGAUGAUUUUUUGGAAAUCAGAAUUUGGAGAAACUCACUAGUGUAAUCGACAGAGAGUGGGUUCAACUGUUAAGAAUUGACAAAAAAAGGUUCUUGAUUGUCCAACUUUACCAAUAUAAAUUGUUGUCAAUUUUACAAGAUUUUUCCUUAAAAUUUAAAAUGCUAGUGAUUUUUUGCGAGGAAUCAAAUACCUUUGUAUAGAUGAUGUUACGGAAGCCUUUGUCAAACCUUGCAUUUUGGAUAUAAAGGUCGGACCUUGUACUUACGAUCCUGAAGCAUCUCCUGAAAAAAUACUUCACGAGACUAUCAAAUAUCCAAUCAGUACAAUUACUGGAUUUCGAAUUUUAGGCAUGAGGAUGUUAGCAGUUGUGUUGUUGUUGCAUGUGUAGACUGGACAUGGGAAUGUUGACAGAAAAUCCAAUACAUUUUUGGUCAGUUUUACAUUGUGGACAUUGUAGAGGUGGCUUCUAUUUGUGCUCUUUUAACUCAUUAGAAAAUAGACUAUGAGAACUACACAAAAUGUGCUUCAGUGUGAGAAUGAAAUGAAAUUGUGAUUCCAUUUCAUUUAUUUUUGACUUUGCUCUGUGGGUUGUAAUAUCAAAACAAUUAACCACUUCUUGAUUUUUGCAAGACCAACUUAUUAGUUUACACAUAAAUACAAUGAACAAUUACAAAUGUUUUUAGAUAUUGGUCUUCAUUGGCAAAAUUCUUCUGCAACUUCCAAAAGGUGAGGAAAACAACAAAAUAAAAGAUGAAGAAUUAUAUUCGUUCUUUUUUUAGCAGACACUGACUUACAGAUGAUUUCUUCUUUCCCCCUUCAGCCAAAAGAAGAAAGAAAAAUAUCACUUUUACAAAGAUAUUGAAUUACUGGUAACAAAGUAUUACAGGGUGCUAAGAGGACUUUUUUCUAUAUUCGUUGUGGGCUUAGCCAGGAUGAUAGGAGACAGUGACCAAGUAACCAGGACCAUUCAUGAAAAGUUUCUUGCUCAGAUUUGUCCCAGAUCUCAUAGAGUGCCAAUGCCCGAACAACCUUUGCCAUGCUACUUUUUGGGAAUGAACAAUGUUCACAUUCACCUUUAAGUAAUGUAUCUAUCCUACAGUGAGCAAUGUUCUUAAGUCUGUAUACUGUGUGUAUAUAUAUAUAUAGCCCUGGUUUUAUUUUAUUCAUUUAUUUAUUUUUUAAAACUCUUUCUGUUGACAUUAAGAGGGCCUCCAUUAGC
rnacentral:misc_RNA from 1 species